rnacentral:lncRNA from 1 species
GUUACUUUACACAUUUUUCUCUUUUUUUUUUUUUCCCCUUAGAAUACUGUACAGCUGACACAAAAAAACCCCCAAGGCAGGAAAAUACAAACUGGCAUAUUGAAUCAAAACAAGAUCAUAUGAAAUAAGGAGCAAAGUGAAAUGUCUGUCAAUGGUUUUAAUUACAGUACAAACAACAUAAAUAAAGCGUCAUUGAGUCAUUGUGAAACACAAACUUGCGGAAUGAGACCCAAAAACCCACUGGAGGAGGAAAACUGCGAUGCUGUCCAAGGUUUGGAGAAGGCAUUAUUUCUAACAUCAAGAUGCGUGAACUGCCACAAAGCAGUUUCUAAACGUACCCGUUGCCCAUCCGCCAUGGGACACCCCGAUCCUCACCCGAGUCCGCUUGUGCACCCCGGUAACAGUGGUGGUGAGAAAAUCGCUGAGACCCCUGGGGGUGGGGCUGGGAGGCCCGUGGGGUGCUCUGUGAGCAGUAAGCGGGAACUAAUUCCCCAGCCUGGCCCCAGCUCACGGCACCCGUGGUCCGUUCUGUCCGCCCCGGAGAACCCAGGCAGGACAUGUUUUCUGACGGCCACUCAGUGGAAGGUCAAGCGCAGGGCUGAGAGCAAUGGCCAUCGGCUGGGCUGCCCGUUAGUGUCUUUACAAGAGGCCUGUCACUGAGGAUUUCUACGUACAGGUAUGAUACCACGGGUGGAAAGACCAGGGACGUCCGGACACAAGUAAUCACUGAGUGAGCUUCUACAAGAGUUUUCAAACCAGCUCAGACAUUAGUUUCCUGGGCCGUGGUGGACACUGCCUGGCACCUCGGAGAUCAGUGCAUAAUCUGAUUUAGGGGCGACUGUCCUGGACAGCGGGUCUGUUAAGGGGGUUUGUUCCAUCCCGAAGAUUCCCCAACACCCUGGAAUCUUGCUUGGUUCCUUUCUUUCACCUGCAUCUCGGGACAAAGGUCAUGGAUUUCCCACUGACAGAGAAUUCGAGGUCAGUCCUAAAUGGACUUUGACAGGCGAGUCUCUAUCAUCUGGCUUGAUCAUGACCCUUGGGGGGGGGGGGGCGGUGUCCCUCUCUACAGAUGCCACAUGCCUGGCCAAAAUAAAAAACAAGCCCCGAGCGGACCUCUCGUACAUGUCGAGCGGCUGCUGGGUGCUGGGUGUCACGUGGCUAGAAGCCAGGGCUCAUCUGUCCAUUUCACUGGGGCCACUCUCGUCUGAAGACUUGCAACCUCCAGGGCCCCGGCCAGUCCCUGCUGGGCACGCUGGACCCAACCUACCCACCUCCGGGCCCCAAAGGCCCUUUGGAUGGGAUGAAGGCCUCAGACAAGGACAUUUUUAUCGAUCAGGCGCAGCGCCCAAAACCCAAGGCUGUCAUUUGAUAGCAAAAAUCAGCACUUCAUAAAUGAAACGCGGCACGGAGAGCUUCUCAGAUUUGCGGGCUCCGCACCUACCCCUUGCUUCGGGGAGGGUGCCUACUACACUGGCGAAACCGAAACCCUGCUAAAACCUGUGCUUUUUAAAAAUCACAGAUUAAAAACAGACUUUUCGAUUUUCCAGAAUCUUCUACCAAUGAAAUGUGCUCCAAUUUCAACUCUGACCCAAACUGAAGAACCCAAAUGGAAGCAAGUGUCCACCCAGGUUUACAAAGCAGCAGACAUCCAACGUUCAACAGGGACUCUAUUAACAUUAAAAAUAAAUCUAUUUAAGGACAGCUUGUCUUCUCUAAGGGGAAGAACAUCGUGUUUUGGAAAUACUCAUGCCUAAGUUGUCACAUGUUGCUUUUUCCUCGGGAGCUGAGAGGUGAGGGUCCAACGUGGGGGGCUGGCCUGCCUGGCAGUGCUCUCUCUCAUCACGGGGGUUCCCAGCGGCUACUUCUCGGCAGUGAUGGAGACAGAAGUCUGAGCACAGCUUCCACCGACCCCACCCGGGCACCCCGCCCCUUCUCUCUGCUGCAUAACUAGAAGGAUAGGAUUUU